rnacentral:rRNA from 1 species
AACGCACCUUGCGCUCUUUGGUAUUCCGAAGAGCAUGCCUGUUUGAGUGUUGUGCGACCUGUAAGCUUCGGCUUGAUUUUGGACGUGAUUGCCGGCCUGGCCGGCUGGUCCUGAAUGCAUUAGCUUGGACCUCGCUUGCGAUCGGUUUGACUCGGCGUGAUAAGUAUCCUUCGCCGGGGAACGGGGACCCUUCGCGGGGCGACCGGCCGAACGCUUUUGGGGUUUGCUCUCCAAUCGUCCCUUUGGGACAGACACAUCACUGUGGCUUCAGCCUCAAAUCAGGUAGGACUACCCGCUGAACUUAA